GAUUCAUAAGAGAAAAAUAUAUGGUGCAAAUUUUCUACAAAUAUCCACACACUUGUUGAACCAGAUAUUUAUUUAAAAAUAUAUUAGCAACUAUAUGACACAAUCAAUUGUCUAACUUAGUCCUACUUAUAAAGAAGAUGUGGCAUGAUAGCUACAUUGUAAUGAGACAACUCCUCACCAGAGACCAAAUGACUCAGAAAUUAACAACUAUAGGUCACUGUACCACUGUAAAAGGCCCUGAAAUGACAAAUGUAAAACAAUUCAAAAGGAAAAAAACUAACGGCUCAAAUAACGUACAAAAUAAAAGAACACAAAACAAAUAUGCAAUACACCAACAAACAACAAGCACUGAAUACACUUGGUUCCUGACUUGAGACAGGCACAUACAUACACUCUGGGAAGAAAUAAGUUACAAAUUCUAUAGGAAAACUCUUAAGCAAUUGAACACACUAAAACAAUGUACCCAGAUUCUGGUGACAGUCAAUGUCGAAAUUUUAAUUUUUUUAAAUCUUGUCUUGAAGGUUAUCUCGAUGGAGCAGUCACUUUUGAUACUUCCAACUAGUGACUGCUUAAUAUAGGUUUGACUGUUUAUGGAACUUCAGCAGACACUGAGAAAACUCAUUCUAUAUAGUUUACUCUUAAAACCCCCAGAUAACCAAAUGUCAAACAAUACAACACAGUUAACGUAAUUGCCUGACUUUAGCUACAUUAAAUGAAAGCUUUUAUGACACAGACGCCAUAUUGCACAUUCCAAGAAAAAAAAUCUUAAAAUGGCGCUUGAAACCUGAUGCAUGUUUUGGAAAUAUCAAUUGUUAAAAAGCAAUCAAGGCAAAAUAAGCUGUUAACUACAAU
rnacentral:lncRNA from 1 species